CCAGGCUUCAGUGGUUGUAUUAUCAGUCACUUGUGCGCUGCUUGGGGGCUCCUGUAACCUGUGAAGCAGUUUUCUGUUCCAAUCUGGUCGUGCUACAUAAAGGCAAACUGGAAAAAUGGCUAGUGAGAAGGGACACAUAAUGAUUCCUAUGACAUCAUGUGAGACUUAUCCACAGCCCAACAUACAAGCACCCUCUGCACCAGACUUCUGUGCACAAGAAGUAGAUUACCAGUAUCCUUCUCCCCCACCAUACUCCUAUCAAGAUGUCAACCCCACAGCCAACCCCACAGAAACAGUAUACAUAGUGUCUCAGCCUCCAAUUGUUGUAGCAGGAAUCUUUACAAGCAAGCCAGCAUCCACAAUAUGUCCAUCUUGUCGCCAAGCCAUUACUACACAGGUUGUCUACAGACUGGGUAAACUAUCUUAUCUUCUAUGUUCCGGGAUGUGUGCCACUGGGUGCUGUUUAGGCUGUUGCCUCAUACCGCUCGUACUGAAGGCCUGCAAAGAUGUGGACCACUACUGCCCACGCUGCCAGUUUCAUAUCUUCAGAUACAAAAGGAUUUAAGAAACCUGUGUGACUGUUUAAAGCCAAGUCACUGCUUUUGCUACCGAUGUCAACAAUUCACAGAUAAAUUCAUUUUUUGGAAAUAGGCUGAAGUGGCCCUCAGCAAGUCCCAGCAGGCUGGCACAUUGGGAGCUGUCAGGGCAUCUUAUAGCUUUGGAAAGCACCUUACAAAUAAUUCCCUGGCUUUUGCCUCAAGUUUGUGUUUUGACAAUUAGAUGCUCAUGCUUUAAAUUACAGGGGCUCAAAUCUUUUGCCCUGGUGGGCCUGACUGGCAGUGCCCGGUCCAUCCACAGGCCGGAUCCAGGUGGUGUCCUCAAUUCGGUGCCUGGUGGGAACCACAUAGCCUUGUAGAGGUGGGCAGAGCGGGGCAGCUGGACCUAUUCAAGCCCCACGGAGGAAACAAGCUUGACCCAGCCCUGCAGGGAGAGAAGGGGCUGUGGCCAAGCCCCAACACCCUCUGCAUGGAGCAGGAGGAGGAGGAGAUGUGGCCCAGCUGCAAUGUGGGGAUGAAAGGGGUUGCAGCCCUACCCGGGGCUUGAGGCUUUGGCAGGGGGAGGGCGGCUAUAUUCAUGACUGUGCUCCCGUGCCAAGUGCCAGGCCCUGUCACACCCUGCUGCAUGAGAGGGAGGUGCACUGUGCUGUGGGGGCAGCCCAGGGGCCCUGCCAGUGCCCACCCUGCUUCCCCGCUCCCAUCUGCAAGUGCCAGGGGCUGUGGGCAGCAUGGCAGGGAUGCACCUGUGCACGGGGGAAGGGCCUGGCCCGUCCUGACUGCCUCGUGGGGCAGCCACUUCACCCCCUGCACUUGUCAGCCAUGGAGGCCCAACACCAACAGCUGCAGCGUCUGCACUGCAAGGCCCCGGUGGUUGGGCGAGGGUGGGAAGCACCUGGUGGGUAAAACCGCACUGCAUGGGAUGGCUGUGCCCCCUCGGCCUUGCAGGCAGGGGAGAAGUGCCGCUCUUGCACAGCGCAGCCGAUGGGGCCCUGGCCUGUGGUGCAAACCACAGAGCUGAGGCUGGGCUUGGUGACAGGCAGGGAAGAUCCCGAUGCUCUCUCUGUGCAUGGCAGAUGCGGGUGGGGAAGAGCCCCGCGGGGGCCGAGCACCAGUGACCAACCCUCUGAAGGGGGAGAUGGCUUUUAGCAAUGGGGCUGCACAGCCUGCCUGCAGGACCCUGCUUUCCACUCCUGAUGGCAGGGUUUCAAACUUGGGACAGAAAAGUGACUAAUUAAAUAAUAAAUAAAUAAUAAUGACCCAGUUCAGCUCUUUGAGGUGGCAGCCCUCUCAAAACUACUGCAAAACAGCUCUUUCCACAAAUGGGUUGCUCUGGGGAGGAGCUGCAGGACCUUGACAGGGACAAGAACAGAUGUCCCUGGGCUGUAGCAUCCCAGGCGAGGUCCCACAAAAGGUAUGUCCAGCUCAGCUGCACCCAGCCUGAAAGAUAAUGGGAAAGCUACUGAAAGCUAUUUUCACUUGCCUGAAGUGCUUCAAGACUAGACCACAGCUGCAAGGUAUUUCUUCUCCCAGCUGAUGUUGAGGCCCUCCUCCAUUUAGAGCUUUUGGCGAUAUAAGAGUAAUAAUGCCAAAGAAAACACCUGCAGCAGAUGCUUUCUUAUUUCUGUGGAGAGGUGAGUAUACCCCUAUAUCCAGGCUCUGAAGGGCCAGAAUAUUGAACAUUUUGCCAUAAAGUAGGCGCAGUUAAGUCGUUGGGAAACCCAGGAAGGUGACUGUUUCUUCUGUUUCAAUGGCAUCAUUUGGUCUGAAAGUUCACUUUGAGAAGACAGAGAAACUAUCUUUGCAGGACAGAAAUCAAAUCUCCCUUUGCUCAUGAAGCAAGAUCAGGUGUUUCAGGGAUGCUGAUUUGUUUACCUGUCUGAAAACAAGUGGAACAGAAAGAAGCUUGGCUGCCCAGACCAGACUGAAGUCGUGGGUUAUACAGAAAUAAAAAGGACCCAUAUGAUUUGGCAGUCCCCUGCACAUACUCCACCGUCUGUGAACUAAAGGGGAGGAUGCAGAAGGGAGCUCAGUUCCUUCAAAUAUCCUGUUCAAAAGGUGCCAGGUAUUCUUAUGUCUGCAACGGUCCACCCCUUUUGAAAAAGGUCAUUGGUUGGGCAACCACCCAUUAGCUCCAGGCAUAUCUGGGUAUCCUCAGUUUCCUAGUCUCUUAUCAGACUGACUUUUAUCCUUGAUAUAGCACAGACUGAACUCAUGGCCUUGGUUGGCUGUCAUUGCCUUGAGAUUGACAGCAGGACACACGCUAGAUGUUUCGGAGGCCUUUGACACAACCAACCACGAGGUUCUGAUUAGUGUUUACAGGACCCAGCGGAUAUUGGCAGGACUGCUCUUUCCUAGCAGGGGGUCCUAGAGGACACUGAUGGAUGAAUGCUUGUCAUCCCUUUGAGAUCUUUUCUAUGGGGUCCCCAAGGCACCAUCUUAUCACCUCUCUUGCUCAAAGUGUUAUAUGAGGCCAUUGGGUGAGAUUGUCUUUUCCGUGCCUGGCUGCAGCUGGGGAUUGGAUGCAAUUGAACCAGCUGAAACUGAAUCUAGGUAAAACAGGACAUUGGGGUGGGUAGACCACUUGAUCUGGGGAGGAUUGAGACACUGAUCAUUGAAGGGUUCAGCUUCCCCAUGUCACUCAGGUUUGCAGCCUUGGACUGCUUCUGGAUCAUCUGCUGCACCCUAGACCUUUUGCACACACCUCUCCAACCAUACCCUCCUGGAUCAGCAGUGGCAGCUGUGCCCCCCCACCCAAGCUGCAGCUCCAUCCUGUGCCUGUCCUGCCCUGCCUGGGCAGCACCUAACCCUAGCCCCAUUCCCUCCCUCAACACAGGGGGCAGCUCCCACUGCUGCUCCUGCUGCUUGGCUGGGAGGGCACGGGGGGAGGGCGUGUGCCCCCAGAUCUGCAUGGGGUGGGCUUGGGGCAGGUGGCAGUGGGUGGGGCUGCAACCCCAAAUUUUGCUGUAGCCCUCCUGUAGUCCCCUCCCAGCACCUACGCCCCCUGCCCCAGCCCAUAGCUGCAGCCUGCCCAGCUCACCCCACGCAGAUCUGGGGGCACACCUCUCCAACCAUACCCUCCUGGAUCAGCAGCAGCAGCCGUGCCCCCCCACCCAAGCUGCAGCUCCAUCCUGCGCCUGUCCUGCCCUGCCUGGGCAGCACCUAACCCUAGCCCCAUUCCCUCCCUCAACACAGGGGGCACUGCCCUGCCCCCCCCACCCUUUCCCUCCCCCUUUCACCACAACAGACUUAGCAGCUGCACGGAGCUCUCCACGCUGCCAAGCUGUGCUCCUCGCUGCCCGUGUGCUGCGGCUGUGCACACGCAUGGGUAUUUGUGCGUCACAUCAGGCCGAUUUACGAUGUAGCCAAUUUUCUUUAUAUCAGUGCCGAUCCAAUAUUAGAACAAUGUAUUGGCGUACCUCUACAGAUCUUCACGUGAUGGCCUUCCACCAACUCCAUUUAGUGGAAAGGUUGCAACACUCUCUUUCAGGUUCUGAUUUGGCCACCAUCAUUCAAUACCUUUCUAACCUCAAGUCUAGACAAUUGCAACGUGCUCUACAGGGGCUGCCCUUAAAAACCAUCUGGAAGCUGCAGCUGGUGCAGAAAAUGGCAGGAGCACAACUCCAAUCCUUCAGCAUCUGCACUAGCUCCCAAGAGCUUUCCAGUGCUGGUUUUGACCUAUAAGGCCUAAACAGUUUGGGUCUUACAUACUUAACAGACAGCCUUUCCCUUUGUAUCUUAUCAGAACCCCUAAGUUCAGCCAACAGCAGCCUCCUCCAAGUAACAUCAGCAGGGAUCCUGGUUUUCCCUGAUAAAAAAGCGCAAAUUCUUUGAUAAAAAAUUGCGAAUUUUGAUACCCCCCCCAAAUCUGUGAUUAAAAUGAAAGGCCCCUCACUUCCCGCCCACCCGUCCUGCUAGUGCCCCUCACUCCCCCCCGCCCCACAGCCCCCUGCCCCAGCUAGUGCCCCUCACCCCACCAGACCUGCUGGUGCUGCUCGCCUCCCACCCACAGCCUCCUGCACAUUUUACUCCAUUUUUCCAUGGGAGAUGGAAAACCCAAAUCCCUGACCAUCAGUAUGUCAAAGUUCCCUUGGCAAAAAUGGGUCGGUGGUUAAUCUUGGUAGUUGCUUUCCCAGCUCCGGAACUCCCUCCCUCUUGAAACCCACCAGAGCCCAAGCCUGGACAUCCUCCAGGAAACAGCUUUCUUUGGGUGGGCUUUUAGAAAGUAAAACUAGGCCUAGAUACUGCUUAGUGAGCCUUGUUCUUACGCUAUUCUAGUUUAAUUUUUAAAGUUUUGUUACUCUUUUGUUUUAUAAAUUAUUCUGUUCUCUUACUGUAAACUUCCUGAAGCCUUUGUUGGGAAGUGUGGCAUAUAAAAAAAAUCACAAAAAUAUUUCCAGCCUGAGGUUCAAGCAUGAGAAAUUUUAGUUCCAAAGGGAUAUUUUUUUGGAGAAGCAGAGACUGCGGAAAACAACACGUCCAAGAGGUUUUAGUAUAUCCAAUUUAAAUAAAAUGCUGAAAUAUUGAGUAACAAUACAUUUUUCAGUCCAAUUCACUGGGCUACUACUGCAUUACUUUUUAUCUCUAUUGUACAGGUUCUUCAGAAUUAAACAGCUGAAAUUAUGUCAGACAACAGGAUGUUAGGAUAUGCCAGAUAUUUGCACUUGCACUUCAUAGCUUUGUGGGAAAUUAUCUGAAAAAGUCAUGUGACAAGUGUAAGACUUAGCUGGUUAUACAUGUUAUGACACUUUCAUUCUUAAUUAAUUCUGAGGACAUUUUUUGAUGUCACAUGCCAACAGAGUCUGCAUGAGACCCUCACCUGAAAUGUUUAAAAACCUCUCCUCUAAUUUUCUUCUUCUCAAAAUCCUGCUGUAGAACAAUCAUGACAUGAUAGCAGUAGUUAAGCAAGCCUCAAAAUGAGUCAGCUUGUUGGGGCAAAGAAAUUCUGUUUUUCUGAUUUUAGAAGUAGCCUUUUGCAAGCAUGGAUCAGAACACAGUUUUGUCCCCAUAUACAGAGGCAGGCUGGUUUAGAUUAAUUUUGUAAGAAUUUUUUUUUUUGAGAGAAAAAAAAUAUUAAAUUGUCACCUGCUGAUUACACCUAGGAAACCUAGGUGGUAAGGAACCCAUGCUUCAGGAACAAGAGGUUUUCACUGUGAUCACUAUGACAGAGUGAGCAUGAAUUUGAACCUGGGUCUCCCAUACACUAGUGGUUUCAAGUCACCAAGGCAGCCACAUGGCAUGUUCUUCCUUCUGAAAUAAAAAGUCCAGGUUUCAUACCAAACAUUAAGAUGGCAUCUGUUUAUUCAAAAGUAUUUUCUUUGCUUUCAUUUGAUAUGGGGGGCGGAAUCAAAACCCUGUAAAUUACACACUUGAAGGGAGAGAGGCUGCAACUAGAUUUAGACAGACUACAAAAGUGGGCAGAUGAGAAUAGGAUGGGGUUCAGCAUAGACAAAUACAGGGUGCUGCACCUCGGGAGAAGGAAUCCACAGCAUACGUACAGGCUGGGGAGUUCUCUUCUUGAAAGCACAGAGGCGGGAAGGGAUCUUGGAGUCAUUAUUGACUCCAAGAUGAACAUGAGCCGCCAAUGCCAGACCGCAGCCAGCAAGGCCAGCCAUACCUUGUCAUACAUCCAAAGGUGCAUCUCAAGCCGGUCCAGAGAGGUGAUACUCCCCCUCUAUGCGACUUUGGUCAGGUUGCAGUUGGACUACUGCGUCCAGUACUGGGCGCUGCACUUCAAAAGGGAUGUGGCCAGCCUGGAGAGGGUUCAGAGGAGGGCCACCCACUUGGUGAGAGGGCAGCAAGACAGGCCCUAUGAGGAGACACUGAGGGACCCGAACUUGUUCAGCCUCAGCAAGAGAAGGCUGAUGGGGGACCUGGUGGCUGCCUACAAGCUCAUCAGGGGGGAUCAACAGCAAAUAGGCAAAGCUCUUUUCUCCCCAGCACCACCUGGGGUGACGAGGAACAAUGGUCAUAAGCUGAUGGAGAAUAGGUUUAGGUUGGAGAUCAGAAGGCGAUAUUUUAGUUAGGGUGGCCAAAAUCUGGAACCAGCUUCCCAGGGAGGUGGUCCUCGCCCCUACCUUGGGCAUAUUCAAGAGAAGGUUGGACGAUCACCUGUCUGGGGUCUUGUGAAUCCAGCAUUCAUUCCUGCCUGUGGCAGGGGGUCAGGCUAGAUGAUCUGUUCAGGUCCCUCCUGAUCCUAGCUACUAUGAAACUAUGAAACGAUGAAAUACAAUGGUCUCUCUCCAGCCAGCUCCACCAUUCAUAUAAUAAAAGUAGUUUUGCAGAAAAACUCUGGAAUCCGAGACAAACACAUUCUGCAAAAUCAAGUUCAAGCUGUCACGAUUUUUGAAAAAAAUCAACAGCUUUUGACUCAAGAUAAUUUCCAGUAUAAAAGUAAAUGAGUGAACACAGACACAGAUUCAGUGUUUUCUAGUCUAUUUUAUUUACAACACAUACAGUUUCUAUAGAAUAUGGUUUCUAACAUGUGUAUGUUAAAUAUAAAAAGCACAGCAUAGCUAAUAUCUACUUACUGAUUACUGCAGCCAACACAAAACCCAUAGGACAGACUGAAUGGUCCAAGCCUCAGGUUUAAAAUACUGAAGGCUCUCUGGUUCUUGAACUACAGGUUCAAAUCUAGUAGCAUCAACUCAGAAGGGAAAAGGGUUGAGGUAGAUACAGUUCACUGAGUUCCCAAUGUAAUUUGCUCUGCGUGCGUCUUUUUCAAAAUACACAAAUAAAUAAAUAAAUCUGAAAUUUGUGCGUCAUGUUUUGAAAUGGUAGGAGUUUGCCCAGCUGGUGGUAGCCAAAACUCUAGUGAGCACUGGUAGGAAGUAUACCAAGUUGACUGCUACUUUCCAUCCCACACACUACUUUAGUUCACUCAUCCUAUCUGUAUUAGUUUAUAAAGCGCUUUUGAGAUCCUCUGGAAAUAAAGGCACUAAGGAACAUACAAUUAUUUUUAUUUUGAUAAAAACAAUUCAGGUUUCUCAUUAUAAUAUGCUGCUGUGAUCCUGCAUAACAUGAGAACAAAUGGCAUGAUUUUCUUUUUGUUUUAUUGCUUUUGUUGCAGUCAGUUUUUGCUACUCAGCUAUGAUAAAAUAUAAACUAGAAUGGAAAUUAGUUAUUUUGAAAAUGACAUUGUAUUCUUGUAAAUUAUUAAAUUGAACAAAGAUACUGCACCUGAGAUAAUACCCUGCCUUCCUUGGUUGUGUUAGGGAUUUCUGCCCCUGAAUACUACUUGCACUCCAAAAGUCACCUCAAAAUCCUCAGUGAAGAAGGAAGUUGGAGAAGCAAAAUGCCUUCUAAUAUGCAAAUUCCUGUUCAGAGUUAAUGCACAAGUACUAUCAAUAACCACAACAGCAAAGCAUGUGAAACUAAGCAUCUUUAAAAAAAACUAAAAAAAAAAUCUAUCCAUCCCUCUGUCUCAGAAAGAACUAAAACAUUUAUUGACAACACUGAAAAAGAUGUUUUUUCCUAAAGGACAAAAGAAGUAAGAUUUUAGCUAAGGGUCAAUGUUACCAUACUCUGCGAGUCAACAUUCAAUCAUUUUAAAAGAAUGAGGUGGGUAUUUGACUAUACUUACACUACCGUUCAAGAAAGGUACAUCACUUCUGAAUGGAAUUACCUAGAUUUUCUGAAAAUCCUGGUAUUUACUGAGGGCAUUUAAAAGACAAUCCAAACACCCAAUAAGGACUAGAUUGUUCCAGACUGCAUCAGAAUCUUCACCAGUUUAACACAACCAUGAAUCAAAAGACAUCAAUUAUCUGUUUAAGGCAUACCAUUUAAAGCACUUUUUUCCACAUCAUAUUUUCAAACCUACAAAAAUAAACGUAAAUAAUUUACCUUGACUGGAAAGAUAAAAGACAUGAUUAAAAACACAA